AGCAGCCGCGGUAAUUCCAGCUCCAAUAGCGUAUAUUAAAGUUGUUGCAGUUAAAAAGCUCGUAGUUGAAUUUCGGGAUUAGUACGUUGGUCGUGCCUUCGGUACGUACUGGUGUUACUGAUUCCUACCUUCUGACGAACCAUCAUGUCAUUAAUUUGGUGUGGCGGGGAAUCAGGACUGUUACUUUGAAAAAAUUAGAGUGUUUAAAGCAGGCUCGCGCUUGAAUACAUUAGCAUGGAAUAAUGCAAUAGGACGUUGACCCUAUUUUGUUGGUUUCUAGGAUUGACGUAAUGAUUAAUAGGGAUAGUUGGGGGCAUUAGUAUUCAAUUGUCAGAGGUGAAAUUCUUGGAUUUAUUGAAGACUAACUACUGCGAAAGCAUUUGCCAAGGAUGUUUUCAUUAAUCAAGAACGAAAGUUAGGGGAUCGAAGACGAUCAGAUACCGUCGUAGUCUUAACCAUAAACUAUGCCGACUAGGGAUCGGAUGAUGUUAAUUUUUUAAUGACUCA
rnacentral:rRNA from 1 species